GAUGAACGCUGGCGGCGUGCCUAAUACAUGCAAGUCGAACGAACAGACUAGGAUCUUUCUCCUCUGUCGUUAGCUGCGUACGUGUGAGUCACACGUGUAUAACCUACCUAUAAGACUUGGAUCACUUCGGGAAACCGGAGCUAAUACCGGAUAAUAUUUUGAACCGCAUGGUUCAAUAGUGAAAGUCGGUUUUGCUGUCACUUAUCGAUGGAUCCUGGCCGCAUUACCUAGUUGGUAAGUUAACGGCUUACCAAGGUGACGAUGAGUAACCGACCUGAGAGGGUGGUAGGCAACACGGGAAGUGAGACACGGUCCAGACGUAUAAGGGAGGCAGCAGUAGGGAAUCUUCCGCAAGGGGGGAAAGCCUGACGGAGCAAAGCCGCGUGAGUGAUGAAGGUGUUCGGAUCGGAAAACGCUGUUAUUAGGGAAGAACAAAUGUGUAAGUAACUAUGCACGUAUUGACGGUACCUAAUCAGAAAGCCACGGCUAACUACGUG
rnacentral:rRNA from 1 species